rnacentral:lncRNA from 1 species
GAAGUUAACCAUAGUUGCUAGACACUCUACACAGUCACAAAGCAAGAUGUGUGGUUUAAAAUAUGUGUGAAAGAACCAUAAUGAAGCCCAUUGAUUUUUGUAUGCUGUGUUUUUUUAAAAAUCAACUAACAAAAGAGAUUGUGUUGCUCAUUUUUUGCUUACAACAUUGGAUAUUUUGUGGCAAGGUCAUUGGUAGGGUCAGCUACAAAUGCCUCAGUGUAAGGACCCUAUUAUUCUCAACUCUGUAUGGAGCACAGCCAACACCCAACACAUUGCCCAGAACCUAGUGCUCUUGUGCCAGCCAGAACAAAUAAAAGCAUAAU